rnacentral:rRNA from 2 species
UGAGGUUAAGUUAACAAGGGCGCAUGGUGAAUGCCUUGGCACUAGGAGCCGAUGAAGGACGGGACUAACACCGAUAUGCUUCGGGGAGCUGUACGUAAGCUAUGAUCCGGAGAUUUCCGAAUGGGGCAACCCAGCAGUUUUAAUCAACUGUUACCACUAGAUGAAUUCAUAGUCUAGUUGGAGGUAAACGCUGUGAACUGAAACAUCUCAUUAGCAGCAGGAAUAUAAAGAAAUUUCGAUUCCCUAAGUAGCGGCGAGCGAACGGGGAACAGCCCAAACCAAAGUGCUUGCACUUUGGGGUUGUAGGACUGAACAUUUGAGUUACCAAAGAACUUGAUAGUCGAAGGAUUUGGGAAAAUCCGCCAUAGAUGGUGAUAGCCCAGUAGAUUAAAUCAAAUUCUCUCAGUUCAGGAUCCUGAGUACGGCGGAACACGUGAAAUUCCGUCGGAAUCCGGGAGGACCAUCUCCCAAGGCUAAAUACUACCUAGUGACCGAUAGUGAACCAGUACCGUGAGGGAAAGGUGAAAAGCACCCCGGGAGGGGAGUGAAAUAGUUCCUGAAACCAUGUGCCUACAAUAAGUCAGAGCGCGUUAAUGCGUGAUGGCGUGCCUUUUGUAGAAUGAACCGGCGAGUUAUGAUCCCGUGCAAGGUUAAGACUAAAAAGUCGGAGCCGUAGCGAAAGCGAGUCUGAAAUGGGCGUUUUGAGUACGAGGUUAUAGACCCGAAACCAGGUGACCUAUCCAUGUCCAGGUUGAAGGUGCGGUAAAACGCACUGGAGGACCGAACCCGUGUAAGUUGAAAAUUGCUGGGAUGAGGUGUGGAUAGCGGUGAAAUUCCAAACGAACUUGGAGAUAGCUGGUUCUCUCCGAAAUAGCUUUAGGGCUAGCCUCGGAAUUAGGAUCAUGGAGGUAGAGCACUAUUUGGACUAGGGGCCCGUCUUGGGUUACUGAAUUCAGAUAAACUCCGAAUGCCAUUGAUUCAUAUCCGGGAGUCAGACGAUGAGUGAUAAGAUCCACCGUCGAAAGGGGAACAGCCCAGACCAUCAGUUAAGGUCCCUAAAUGUAUGCUAAGUGGAAAAGGAUGUGGAGUUGCAUAGACAACUAGGAUGUUGGCUCAGAAGCAGCCACCAUUUAAAGAGUGCGUAAUAGCUCACUAGUCGAGUGAUCCUGCGCCGAAAAUGUACCGGGGCUAAGCAUACUACCGAAACCAUGGAUGCGACCAUUAGGUCGCGUGAUAGGAGAGCGUUCUAAGGGCGGUGAAGCAAGAUCGUGAGGACUUGUGGAGCGCUUAGAAGUGAGAAUGCCGGUAUGAGUAGCGAAAGAUAGGUGAGAAUCCUAUCCACCGAAUGACUAAGGUUUCCUGGGGAAGGCUCGUCCUCCCAGGGUUAGUCGGGACCUAAGUCGAGGCCGAGAGGCGUAGACGAUGGAUAACAGGUUGAGAUUCCUGUACUAGUUAAGUGCGUUUGAGCAAUGGAGGGACGCAGGAGGCUAAGAUGUGCAUUCUGUUGGAUUAGAAUGUCCAAGCAGUAAGUCUUGUGAAGAGUCAAAUGCUUUUCACUUUAAGGACAAGCUGUGAUGGGGAGCGAAAUUUAGUAGCGAAGCGUCUGAUGUCACACUGCCGAGAAAAGCUUCUAGUGAGUACUUAACUACCCGUACCGCAAACCGACACAGGUAGUCGAGGAGAGAAUCCUAAGGUGAGCGAGUGAACUCUCGUUAAGGAACUCGGCAAAAUGACCCCGUAACUUCGGGAGAAGGGGUGCUGAUCGCAAGAUCAGCCGCAGUGAAUAGGCCCAGGCGACUGUUUAUCAAAAACACAGGUCUCUGCAAAAUCGUAAGAUGACGUAUAGGGGCUGACGCCUGCCCGGUGCUGGAAGGUUAAAAGGAUGGGUUAGCUUCGGCGAAGCUCAGAAUUGAAGCCCCAGUAAACGGCGGCCGUAACUAUAACGGUCCUAAGGUAGCGAAAUUCCUUGUCGGGUAAGUUCCGACCCGCACGAAAGGCGUAACGAUCUGGGCACUGUCUCAACGAGAGACUCGGUGAAAUUAUAUUGUCCGUGAAGAUGCGGACUACCCGCGACAGGACGGAAAGACCCCAUGGAGCUUUACUGUAGCUUGAUAUUGAGUGUUUGUACAGCUUGUACAGGAUAGGUAGGAGCCAUAGAAACCGGAACGCUAGUUUCGGUGGAGGCGUUGGUGGGAUACUACCCUCGCUGUAUGACCACUCUAACCCGCACCACUAAUCGUGGUGGGAGACAGUGUCAGGUGGGCAGUUUGACUGGGGCGGUCGCCUCCUAAAAAGUAACGGAGGCGCCCAAAGGUUCCCUCAGAAUGGUUGGAAAUCAUUCGCAGAGUGUAAAGGCACAAGGGAGCUUGACUGCGA